rnacentral:rRNA from 1 species
GACGAACCGUGCGAACGUUGUUCGGAAUCACUGGGCGUAAAGGGUGCGUAGGCGGGUCUUUUAAGUCAGGGGUGAAAUCCUGGAGCUCAACUCCAGAACUGCCUUUGAUACUGAGGAUCUUGAGUACGGGAGAGGUGAGUGGAACUGCGAGUGUAGAGGUGAAAUUCGUAGAUAUUCGCAAGAACACCAGUGGCGAAGGCGGCUCACUGGACUGGUAUUGACGCUGAGGUGCGAAAGCGUGGGGAGCAAACAGG